rnacentral:lncRNA from 1 species
UGAGAUCGUGCCAUUGCACUCCAGCCUGGGUGACAAGAGCAAAACUCUGUCUCAAAAAAAAUAUGUAUAUAUUACCAUCUUCUUGCUUGCUUUUUUUUUUUUUUUUUAGUUUUUUAAUUUUUUUUUUUAAUUCCAGCCUGGGUGACAGAGCAAGACUCAAAAAAAAUCAAGAAGAAAUUAGAAAGCUCCCAAUCAUGAAAGCAUAACUCCACCAUGCAGAGAUAUUUGGCAUUUGUGUGUAUAUCUUUCUGGACUUUCCCUUUACAUAUAUUUGUGCACCUAUAGCUCCAGCUACUCA